CAUGUCCUGAAAUUAUUUGCGUAAAUUAUUCACUCUUGGAAGGAGAAAAUAGUCAUCCGUGUGAAGCGUUGCAAUGCAAUUAAGCUCCUCUGGUUUUUACUUGUACCGUCUGUUCUCUGAAAUUGCUUUCUUUUUACAUGUUGAUCUGUUUUGCAAUUUUGAAACCACGAUCCCUGUCUGAGAGUUUUUCAUUCACUCAAAAUAUGAGUUGUGUUGCUUGCGCAAGACAGUGAAUAAUAACAGCUGCAUCAUUGCAAAAAUCCUCUUCGCUAGACGAAAAAUAGGAGGAAAACAGGGAGAAAAAAAGAUGGAGAAACUUUUAUAAAUCACGCAUGGGCCCAGAUCGAGGCAGGCGACAAGCGUCGAGCGUUCAUCAUUCAAGUCAGUGUGCAAAAAUGUCUAAAUCAGAUCGAUUUGCUCUCCUCUUUUGGGUCGCGGCAAGCCUGGCGGUUUGCUGCCGAUCCGAGGGCCCGAACGCAACAGGGAAGCAAGACGAGGUGGGUGUACCCCCGAAAUCGCCACCGCUCCAAAACUUCUUCCAAACAAACCACCAGCCUCUGUCCUUCUCCUACUUCGACCGAGCGGCACCCGCACCGUCAGUGACGAUCCCAGCAUCUCCAAAGCCCGCGGCACUCCCCCGCCCGGACUCCAACAACGGGACUCCCUUCGCGUCAGCCACGACGAUGGACUCCGUCAUGCAAGGGAUCAGGGACCUGAAACUGACAGUCGCCGAGAUGGAGGAUAAGCUGGAUCGCGUCGUCCAGAGGGUCGCGCCUGAUGCCGGGGGCAAGUCUCUCAUGAACAAGGGUGCUGAUCUCUUCAGGAAGUUCCUGCAUCUGUCAACUCCUGGGGAGGAAAACGAGGAUCCAGUCCGACUCGAGAGAACUUUGAACAGCAAGGGGAUGUACGGCAGGGGCCCCAGGGGGGUUGGCUUGUCGUACCACUAAGCGCUCCACGGACGCUUGCGCUGCCGUGCCGAGGGAAAACGCCAUAUGAACUUCCAGGCGUUGCCAAAUAUCCUUUGAUAAAAUACGAAUUUCCUGGUAAACAUAUGGAUAUUUUUCUUCCAUUUUUUCAUAUAAUUUUGUUCGCGAUUUCACCUAAAGUUCCUGAAAAUUUCAAGGAAAAAUAUUCAUAACUUGCCUCAGAAAUAAACAUUUUAUCGAAGGAAAUUUGGCAACUCUCGAAUGUUCGUAAGGCGUUCUUCCUUAGCACGGCAGUGCGGGCGCUACAAUUUCGCACGUCAGUGGGUUGAUUUGUUGAAAUUGAUUGACAAAGCUAUACCAAAGAAGAUAUGGGGAGUAUAGAGCGAUCCAGUUGGUUGAAAUGGGUGGUUUUCAUUGACCACGGGGGUAAAUGAUGGACCAACUAUAAGAUCUCUUGUAAAUUGCCGUUUGUUAGUCUACUAUCAAUCUCUUAUGUCCAUUACAACAGCACCCACUUCCACCAAUAGGAUCCCUCCAUAUCCCUUUUGUCUUCUUUGUCUACAGCUUUGUCUAUCAGUUUCAAAAUCAGCCAACGAUUUUAUACAUAAUUUCUAUCGAUUAAAAAAUCGCAUUAUGCAUUUUAAGUUACAAUUGGUCGCAAAUUUCACAAAGUUUGAUAAUUUGGUACAGUUCAAAGUUUGGUCAUAUUCAAAAAGCUAAUUUUUGCUCAAUACUGCUCUGAUAGAGAUUGUUCGAAACUGAGGCCGUGCGAAACUUUAGUCCUAGAUUGUAGGCAGGAUGGCGAGAUUCAAUGAAAUUCAAAACUGAAAAAUUUUAUGUUAAAUACCUUCGAAGAAAAACUAUUGGAAAAUGUAAAUUUAAGAAAUAUCUAUAAAGUAUUCCUAUUAUGUUAUUCGUAUCAUGAGGGGCUUCCAGGACGCGGUGCAUAAGUGGAGUUUAUUUUGCUAUCUUAAGAAAUGAGUUUAAAGUUUCAAAAUUACAAGGAGCCUUAUGGCGGAAAAAAAGUUCAGACUAAAUUUCUGAUGCUCAAAAAUUUGAUUUUAUUGGUGAAAAUUUCAACGAGUAGGUAUAUUUAGAUACUAGUUUUACUUGAAAUCAUUGAUAACUCAAUUUUUUCAAGGGCUGCACUUCUGCGACUCGUGUUCAAAGUUUCUCAUUUAAGUUCCAUAAAAUAUUUACUUUUUGACAUUUUUGAAUUCCUUUUGUAAACAUCAUUUAAAUACUUCAACGCGCUACAUAAGAGUGUAGUGAUUCCAUGAGAGUAUAUUAUAACAAUAAAAUAAUCGAAAGAUUUCUUUAAAAAAAAAGUUGGAAAAUAAGCUAUUAUGAAUCUCAAUAAAUUUUUCUUUAAAUUGAACAUAAUUGAUUUCGUGUUACUUCACAUGACAAUCCGACUCAAUCACUCUCCUUUCACCAUGCAAGUAUCGGUGAUCGUGCUAAGUUGCGAUUCGAACGGUGAGUUAUCGCGAUUUUGUCGUCUGAAAUUUAUCGCUAUAUUAUGAAAUCCAAAACAGUAAUAUAGUGCGAUUAAAUCACGAUGACGUUGUUAUAGAAUAUUCACCUAUGCAUAAAAAUACGUACAUCCACCACUAGAGUGCAGUGAACACCAUCUCUGCAUCUUCAGGCAGUAUGCUUAAAUUUUUUUUGCACUCUCUCAAGUAAUAUAUUGUACAAUCAUGCAUGACAGAACUAACUCUUCCAAAGCGUAUUCCUCCCCAGAUGGCUCAAAUAUGCAACAUUAAUGUUUAAUAUAUGUAAAUUGAAGGACUCCUUUAUGGCUGAAUAGUUAGCGAUACCACUGAAAAGAUAUCUUUCGAAACUCGUUAUACAUUUAUGAAAUGAGAUUGCAGGAUUUGCCCCCCCCCUUCCUUCCCAAAGGAGAUGAAAAGAGGUGGAUAUGGUACGCCUUAAAUUGUCUUUCGGAUUGUUAUUACUCAAUCAUCAUAUUUCUAAGGUUUUGGUACGCAUGUGUUUCGCCUCUAAACAUGCUUACAACAUGCAAUGCCUGCGGGGAAACUUUCUUGAUAGGGUAUAGAUUUUCGGCUUUUAAACCGGUUAAACAUUUUUCUCCGCAGUUAGGAACCUAUAUUGAGUAAUUAGCAUACAAGUUACGGUGUACUGGAUCAGUGUAUGUACAAUGUAAUGUGAAUGGAACACAAGUCGGAGCUUCAUGACAAUUUUCAAAACGUUUAUCAGAUUUAAAAAAAAAAUAAUAAAAAAAUUGAAGGCAUGGUUGUUGCAUGGUCAUAUCUCCCAGCUAAUGAGUCAUCCGAUCGUGUAAAGGCUUGUUAUGAGCUAAGACUAGGAGGUAUGAAGUUAUUUUCGUUAGAUUGACGUCAAGCAUUAGUGGCUAGGCGUCAAUAAUCGAUUAUCGAUUUUCCCCCAUUCGAAACUAUGGUAAAGAAUCGAUUAUUAAAGUGUUCGUUGCGACGACCCUGUUUAUCGAUCCUUUUCCGUAGGUUUAGAUGGCAGAUCAAUCGAUUAAUCGCAAAGCACGCCACGCCACUGUCAAUCCCUUGCUGAAUUGCGCUGAGGUAAAAUUGACGUCAAACGGAAAAAAGCAUGCGUAUGAAGGUAAAAACGCAGCAAAAACUAGAGAGGAGGACUAAAUUGCAUUUUCUAACGAGUUUUGGGAACAUAUUAACCAUAAUUGAACUCUGUCACGUAAUUUCAAGAGAGCCUGAUGAUUCAUUUUCUCGUACGAGCAAAGUUUAAAAAUAAUGGCAAUGGCGGUUAGUAACUUUUACGAGUCAAUUUUUACGAUGAUGUUCCUUUUGCCGCCUAUAUGCAUUGACUUGUUUUCCUCUAAACAUGCAUGAGAACAUGCUGGGUUGGUGAUCCGGCUGAGAAAUUUCUUUAUGACAUUCAAAUAUUAAGGCAUACGUUGCCCUUCUUUCACCACCGGAAUUUAAAUGUACAAAAGAUGUUAUAGAUAUUACUUGAUAUUAAUUUGAGGGGCUUGAAGGACAAGGCACAUAAGUGCAGUUUUUGAUGUUUCGAGAAAUACGUGUUUGAAGUUUCGAAAUCACAUGGAUCGUCAUGGUGGAAAGAAAGUUCAAAUUGAGUUUUUGAUGCUUAAAAAUUAGAAUUGAGGAGCGAAUUUUUUUACAGAGAAUGCAUUACGACUAGUUUCUCUUGAAAGCAUUAAUAUCUCAAUUUUUUUCAAAAACUGCACCUAUGCGCCUUGUCCUCCAAGCCCCCUCAUUUGGAGUAUAUGACAAUGAUAUUGAUCGGAAACAAGCAAAAAUUCGAAAGAAUAUUUUUUGAACCUAGAAUGAUUUUUG
rnacentral:lncRNA from 1 species